GGUUAAGUGACUAAGCGUACACGGUGGAUGCCUUGGCAGUCAGAGGCGAUGAAAGACGUAGUAACUUGCGAUAAGCCCAGAUUAGGUAGUAACAACCAUUUGAGUCUGGGAUUUCUGAAUGGGGAAACCCACGUGCAUAAGCACGUAUCCUUACCUGAAUACAUAGGGUAAGGAGGCGAACCGGGGGAACUGAAACAUCUAAGUACCCCGAGGAAAAGAAAUCAACCGAGAUUCCGAAAGUAGCGGCGAGCGAAAUUGGACUAGCCCUUAAGCUUUACACGCGUUAGACGAACGGUCUGGAAAGUCCGACGAUACAGGGUGAUAGUCCCGUAGUUGACGACGUGUGUUCAGUGAAAUCGAGUAGGGCGGGACACGUGAUAUCCUGUCUGAAUAUGGGGGGACCAUCCUCCAAGGCUAAAUACUACUGACUGACCGAUAGUGAACCACCGUGAGGGAAAGGCGAAAAGAACCCCUGUGAGGGGAGUGAAAUAGAACCUGAAACCGUGUACGUACAAGCAGUAGGAGCAGGCUUUGUCCUGUGACUGCGUACCUUUUGUAUAAUGGGUCAGCGACUUAUAUUCAGUGGCAAGGUUAACCAUCUAGGGGAGCCGUAGGGAAACCGAGUCUUAACUGGGCGUUCAGUCUCUGGAUAUAGACCCGAAACCAGGUGAUCUAGCCAUGGGCAGGUUGAAGGUUGAGUAACAUCAACUGGAGGACCGAACCGACUAAUGUUGAAAAAAAAUUAGCGGAUGACUUGUGGCUAGGGGUGAAAGGCCAAUCAAACCUGGAGAUAGCUGGUUCUCCCCGAAAGCUAUUUAGGUAGCGCCUCGGACGAAUACUACUGGGGGUAGAGCACUGUUAAGGCUAGGGGGUCAUCCCGACUUACCAACCCUUUUGCAAACUCCGAAUACCAGUAAGUACUAUCCGGGAGACACACGGCGGGUGCUAACGUCCGUCGUGGAGAGGGAAACAACCCAGACCGCCAGCUAAGGUCCCAAAUUACUACUAAGUGGGAAACGAUGUGGGAAGGCUCAGACAGCCAGGAUGUUGGCUUAGAAGCAGCCAUCAUUUAAAGAAAGCGUAAUAGCUCACUGGUCGAGUCGGCCUGCGCGGAAGAUGUAACGGGGCUAAGUAGUAAACCGAAGCUGCGGCAAUAUACUUUUGUAUAUUGGGUAGGGGAGCGUUCUGUAAGCGGUUGAAGGUGUGUGGUAACGCAUGCUGGACGUAUCAGAAGUGCGAAUGCUGACAUGAGUAACGAUAAAGGGGGUGAAAAACCUCCUCGCCGGAAGACCAAGGGUUCCUGUCCAACGUUAAUCGGGGCAGGGUAAGUCGACCCCUAAGGCGAGGCCGAAAGGCGUAGUCGAUGGGAAACGGGUUAAUAUUCCCGUACUUCUUACAAUUGCGAUGGGGGGACGGAGAAGGCUAGGUGGGCCUGGCGACGGUUGUCCAGGUUCAAGUGCGUAGGCUUAAGAGUUAGGUAAAUCCGGCUCUUUUUAAGGCUGAGACACGACGUCGAGCACCUACGGGUGUGAAGUCAUUGAUGCUAUGCUUCCAGGAAAAGCCUCUAAGCUUCAGAUUGUAAGGAAUCGUACCCCAAACCGACACAGGUGGUCGGGUAGAGAAUACCAAGGCGCUUGAGAGAACUCGGGUGAAGGAACUAGGCAAAAUGGUACCGUAACUUCGGGAGAAGGUACGCUCUUGAUGGUGAAGUCCCUUGCGGAUGGAGCUGACGAGAGUCGCAGAUACCAGGUGGCUGCAACUGUUUAUUAAAAACACAGCACUGUGCAAAAUCGUAAGAUGACGUAUACGGUGUGACGCCUGCCCGGUGCCGGAAGGUUAAUUGAUGGGGUUAGACUUCGGUCGAAGCUCUUGAUCGAAGCCCCGGUAAACGGCGGCCGUAACUAUAACGGUCCUAAGGUAGCGAAAUUCCUUGUCGGGUAAGUUCCGACCUGCACGAAUGGCGUAAUGAUGGCCACGCUGUCUCCACCCGAGACUCAGUGAAAUUGAAAUCGCUGUGAAGAUGCAGUGUACCCGCGGCUAGACGGAAAGACCCCGUGAACCUUUACUACAGCUUGGCACUGAACAUUGACCCUACAUGUGUAGGAUAGGUGGGAGGCUUUGAAGCACGUACGCCAGUAUGUGUGGAGCCGUCCUUGAAAUACCACCCUUGUAGUGUUGAUGUUCUAACGUCGACCCCUAAUCGGGGUUGCGGACAGUGCCUGGUGGGUAGUUUGACUGGGGCGGUCUCCUCCCAAAGAGUAACGGAGGAGCACGAAGGUGGGCUAAUCACGGUUGGACAUCGUGAGGUUAGUGCAAUGGCAUAAGCCCGCUUGACUGCGAGAAUGACAAUUCGAGCAGGUGCGAAAGCAGGUCAUAGUGAUCCGGUGGUUCUGAAUGGAAGGGCCAUCGCUCAACGGAUAAAAGGUACUCCGGGGAUAACAGGCUGAUACCGCCCAAGAGUUCAUAUCGACGGCGGUGUUUGGCACCUCGAUGUCGGCUCAUCACAUCCUGGGGCUGAAGUCGGUCCCAAGGGUAUGGCUGUUCGCCAUUUAAAGUGGUACGCGAGCUGGGUUUAGAACGUCGUGAGACAGUUCGGUCCCUAUCUGCCGUGGGCGUUGGAAGAUUGAAGGGGGCUGCUCCUAGUACGAGAGGACCGGAGUGGACGAACCUCUGGUGUUCGGGUUGUGUCGCCAGACGCAUUGCCCGGUAGCUAAGUUCGGAAUCGAUAACCGCUGAAAGCAUCUAAGCGGGAAGCGAGCCCUGAGAUGAGUCUUCCCUGAUACUUUAAGUAUCCUAAAGGGUUGUCGGAGACUACGACGUUGAUAGGUCAGGUGUGUAAGUGCUGUGAGGCAUUGAGCUAACUGAUACUAAUUGCCCGUGAGGCUUAACCAU
rnacentral:rRNA from 1 species